UUUAUUCUAUCUGUUUCCAGAGAUCAUCAUUUCUUUAUGUAGAUCCAAGUUUCUCUCAGGUAUCAUAUUUCUUCUGCUUACAGAACGUCCACUGGUAAUGAAUUUUCUCUCUCUCUUUUUUUUUUUUUGAUCUGAAAAAGUGUAUUUCCUUCAUGUUUGAAAGAUGUAUUUGCUAGGUAUAGAAUUCUGGAUUGGCAGUUUUUUGUCUUUCAGCAUUUUAAAGAUAUGACUCUAUUAUCUUCUGGUUAUAUAAUUUCUGAUGAGAAGUCUUCUGUAAUUCUUUGUUCCUCUGUAGGGAGUGUGCCUUUUUCCUCUAGAUGCCUUCAAUAUUUUCUCUUUAUCUUUGGUUUUCAGCAAUUUGAAUAUGAUAUAUUAGGUUGUGUUUGCAUGUGCUUCUUUGUUGUGUUUGUAUAUUGGCAUUUAAUCUUUUCUGGAUUCUGUGAGUUUCUUGGCUCUGUGGUUUGAUAUCUUUCAUUAUUUUAGACAGGUUCCUAGGUGGGAAGGGGUGGGUCCUUGGUGAAACCCCACCUUCAAGCCAGGGAUGACCUGAAGCCUGACAGCCAGGCCUCCAGUUCUGUGUGGAGUCCACUACCUAAAGUGAGAACUUCCUUGAUGCCUUUUGGCCAAUCAGAUGGUGCUUUUUCCUGACCCGGCCAGAUUCAUGGACUCGUUGGGACUACCUGCCUGCAGAUAGGAGCUACCCACUUUGGGUCUCCUCUCCUCUGAGAGCUGUUUGGUCAGCCGAUAAAGCUGUUCUCUGCCUUGCUCACCUUCCAGUUGUCUGUGUAACCUCAUUCUUCACGGAUGCUGGUCAAGAACUCAGGAC
rnacentral:lncRNA from 1 species